rnacentral:rRNA from 1 species
UAAGGGCGCACGGUGGAUGCCUUGGCACUAGAAGCCGAUGAAGGACGUUACUAACGACGAUAUGCUUUGGGGAGCUGUAAGUAAGCUUUGAUCCAGAGAUUUCCGAAUGGGGAAACCCAGCAUGAGUUAUGUCAUGUUAUCGAUAUGUGAAUACAUAGCAUAUCAGAAGGCACACCCGGAGAACUGAAACAUCUUAGUACCCGGAGGAAGAGAAAGAAAAUUCGAUUCCCUUAGUAGCGGCGAGCGAAACGGGAAGAGCCCAAACCAACAAGCUUGCUUGUUGGGGUUGUAGGACACUCUAUACGGAGUUACAAAGGACGACAUUAGACGAAUCAUCUGGAAAGAUGAAUCAAAGAAGGUAAUAAUCCUGUAGUCGAAAAUGUUGUCUCUCUUGAGUGGAUCCUGAGUACGACGGAGCACGUGAAAUUCCGUCGGAAUCUGGGAGGACCAUCUCCUAAGGCUAAAUACUCUCUAGUGACCGAUAGUGAACCAGUACCGUGAGGGAAAGGUGAAAAGCACCCCGGAAGGGGAGUGAAAUAGAACCUGAAACCGUGUGCUUACAAGUAGUCAGAGCCCGUUAAUGGGUGAUGGCGUGCCUUUUGUAGAAUGAACCGGCGAGUUACGAUUUGAUGCAAGGUUAAGCAGUAAAUGUGGAGCCGUAGCGAAAGCGAGUCUGAAUAGGGCGUUUAGUAUUUGGUCGUAGACCCGAAACCAGGUGAUCUACCCUUGGUCAGGUUGAAGUUCAGGUAACACUGAAUGGAGGACCGAACCGACUUACGUUGAAAAGUGAGCGGAUGAACUGAGGGUAGCGGAGAAAUUCCAAUCGAACCUGGAGAUAGCUGGUUCUCUCCGAAAUAGCUUUAGGGCUAGCCUCAAGUGAUGAUUAUUGGAGGUAGAGCACUGUUUGGACGAGGGGCCCCUCUCGGGUUACCGAAUUCAGACAAACUCCGAAUGCCAAUUAAUUUAACUUGGGAG